rnacentral:rRNA from 1 species
GACGUAGGGCGCAAGCGUUGUCCGGAUUUAUUGGGCGUAAAGAGCUCGUAGGCGGCUUGUUACGUCGGAUGUGAAAACCCAUGGCUCAACUGUGGGCUUGCAUCCGAUACGGGCAGGCUAGAGUUCGGUAGGGGAGACUGGAAUUCCUGGUGUAGCGGUGAAAUGCGCAGAUAUCAGGAGGAACACCGGUGGCGAAGGCGGCCAUCUGGACGGUAACUGACGCUGAGACGCGAAAGCGUGGGGAGCAAACAGG